AAACUUUCAACAACGGAUCUCUUGGUUCCGGCAUCGAUGAAGAACGCAGCGAAAUGCGAUGACGUAAUGUGAAUUGCAAAUUCAGUGAAUCAUCGAGUCUUUGAACGCACAUUGCGCCCCCUGGUAUUCCGGGGGGCAUGCCUGUCCGAGCGUCAU
rnacentral:rRNA from 1 species